rfam:Exophiala dermatitidis NIH/TT8656 mitochondrion, whole genome shotgun sequence.
ACGGCUAUAUGUUAAUUGGUAGACCCGUCGUCUUCCAAACGAAGAGUGUCAGUUCGAGUCUGACUGGCCGUA